rnacentral:misc_RNA from 1 species
GUACCCUCAAGCUUUGCUUGGUGUUGGGCGUCUUGUCUCUUCUUUGUGAUUAGACUCGCCUUAAAGUCAUUGGCAGCCAGUGUUUUUGGUAGUAAGCGCAGCACAUUUUGCGUCUUGGUCCUUAACACUUGCGUCCAUAAAGCUCCUUUCUCAC